CCAGUUCCAGUGAUUGGAAUUGUGGCCAAGUGUACCAAGAACACAGCAAAUCCAAUAGGCAAUGGUGCCAAAAUCUAAAUUAAAACAUAACCCAAUUUCAACUAUCAGUUUUAAGGCCACAAUUAAUUACCCACAAAACCUACUACUUUCUUUUACUGAAUUAAGGCUAUGAAUACUUACAGGGACAUGUGAAUCCCUAGCACUACGCUUAGCAUCAGUGGCAGAGAAAACAGUGUAAACAAGGACGAAAGUACCAACGAUCUCAGCACCAAGACCUGAUCCCUUUGUGUAACCAAGAUUUACAACAUUGGCACCACCACCCUUUGUUUGAUAAAGAGUUUUGCCAAACCCUUUGACCACACCAGCACCACAGAU
rnacentral:lncRNA from 1 species